rnacentral:ncRNA from 1 species
CGCCGCUUGGCGAAAAUUUUCACGACAGGACGCGGCUUAGUAGGCGAUGCUCGAAAUGCGGCGAAGUGAAAAAAGGAG